rnacentral:rRNA from 1 species
UACGAGGGGGCAAGCGUUGUUCGGAAUUAUUGGGCGUAAAGGGCGCGUAGGCGGUGCGGUAAGUUCACCUGUGAAAUCUCCGGGCUCAACUCGGAGCCUGCAGGCGAAACUGCCGGUGCUGGAGUGUGGGAGAGGUGCGGUGGAAUUCCCGGUUGUAGCGGUGGAAAUGACGUAGAUAUCGGGAGGAACACCUGUGGCGAAAGCGGCGCACUGGACCACAACUGACGCUGAGGCGCGAAAGCUAGGGGAGCAAACAGG